CUCUUCUUUCCUCUAAAACCAGAGCCACAUGGACAAAGUUGCAGAGUUCUGUGGCUUGCUGGGGCUGGACCAUGGUCCU